rnacentral:misc_RNA from 1 species
GUGAAUCAUCGAAUUUUUGAACGCAAAUUGCACUCUCCGGUUUUCCGGGAGAGUAUGCCUGUUUGAGGGUCAGCCUAAAAAAAAUCGACAUUGUUGCUGUUUUAUGGUGACUUUCGUCGGAGAUGGGUUAUCUUAAAUCUCGGUUUAAGCGACUUAAAAAUUUUUUUUGAUCCCAUGAACGUUUCUAAGAUUUAUAUCUUUACACGUUUAAGGGUAUCGAUUUUAUUAGACGUGGCCGUCAUAUCGGAUCGCGUCCAUAAUCUUUCAUUAACUGACCUCAGACAGGUAAGAGUACCCG